UCCGGCCGUCUGCGUGGCUUCAGGAAAGGUUGGCAAGGCAAGGCGCGCGCUCGGCCUCGCUCUUGCUGCCUUUGCGGGUGCCGGGCGAAGCGGAGGCCGCCUUGCGCGGGAAACCUUUGGGAGGGAAGAAAGGGAAAGAAAGCUGGAAUGGAGAGAGGAGGGAGCGGCCGAGUCGGGAUAGGUUGGAUUGGAAACGGCGCGCGCGCGCGCGCGCUCAAGGACUCGGGAGCGCGCGCCACAGGAUUUUUCUUUCUUUUUUUUUUUUUCUUUUUCUUUUUUUAAAAAAUUGCCUAGCAGACAAAAUAAUUUAAAGCUGCAGAAAAUUCUUCUGGCCCGUCAGAAUUCUCGCACAGCGGAUUUAUCUGGUCGUCUUUGAAGGUGGUCGGUAGUUUUGCUGCGCGGAGCAGUUUUUUGUUUCGUGUUUUUUUUUUGUUUUUUUUUGUUUUUAAGGAAGGCGAAAUCGUCACGAAUAAAAGAUUUGCAAAAUCCGGAGUUUGUAAUCGCUUGCAUUUGGAACUAAAGGAAGCUGCACAUGCCGUCUUUUAGGGCGCUACGGGUAAUCGGCGGUCGUCAAAAUUUGUAAUUCGGCGAAAUGCAUUUUUAAGCGGACGGGGUUUCGUGCAUUUACUAAAUCCGGCAACGAUCCACGUGAGGUUAUUAGUAUAAUUGUGUAUUGGGGAGUUUCGAGUGGGAGAGGUUUUAGUGCGGGGUAGGCUUUUUUUCCUCACUGCUGAGUUGAAGUCGUCUCUCCAUCCAUCCUUGAGCCAACAGACAACUAUGUUGGCAUCAAGUUUAUUGUCUGUGUGGUGGCCCCUUAAUCUGCCUCUGUUUCUAGGCUUUGCACUCACGACUUCUUUUCAAGGGAAUGAGGGACAAAGCCAAACGGAGUUUAUAUGGUCCCGGGGGGGGGGGUUUUGUAGUAUUUAAGCAACUCACUCACUCUGAACACCAGAUGAAAGCAAAAUAAAUGGAGACUCAGAAGAAGAGCAGCGGACUAAAGCGCUGUUAAAUAGCACUUAGUUGCCAGCUGCCUGCAAUUACUGCAAGUUCGAAUCUCACCAGGCUCAAGGUUGACUCGGCCUUCCAUCCUUCCGAGGGAACAUCAACUUUUUUAUUUGGCAAAUGAAGACAAAUAUAUGUGUCCCAGGAUAAUGUUGCAGGAUCCAAUCUGAGUUGGUUGCCGGGACCCAGAGGUAUUUUCCUCCAAGCUUUCAGAUUGAUGGAGCCCUUCCUUAGGUGUGCUCUCUGCUGGCAAGUUUUUCCAUUAGGCAUAGGAAAUUCUAUUAUCCUUGAAAGGCGCUAACAAGGUUGGAGGUGAAGAAGGAAGUAUGCGGUCUGAAGCUUUAGCAACAAAGAAAUGUGUUUUGAAGAAUUGCAUUUUGCUGUGUCAUACAUCAUUUUAAUAGCCUUCAGGAUUUAAGAAAUUUGCAGUGGAUAGCUGUGAAGUUUUGGCACUUUAAAAAACAAAUAUUUAUGGAC